rnacentral:rRNA from 1 species
UACGGAGGGUGCGAGCGUUGUCCGGAAUCAUUGGGCGUAAAGGGCGCGUAGGUGGCCCGGUCAGUCUUUGGUGAAAGCGCGGGGCUCAACCCUGCGUCGGCCAGGGAUACUGCCGCGGCUCGAGCACUGUAGAGGCAGGCGGAAUUCCGGGUGUAGCGGUGGAAUGCGUAGAGAUCCGGAAGAACACCGGUGGCGAAGGCGGCACGCUGGGUCCCUACUGACGCUGAGGCGCGAAAGCCAGGGGAGCGAACGGG